rnacentral:rRNA from 1 species
AGCGAACGCUGGCGGCAGGCUUAACACAUGCAAGUCGAACGGGCGUAGCAAUACGUCAGUGGCAGACGGGUGAGUAACGCGUGGGAACGUACCUUUUGGUUCGGAACAACACAGGGAAACUUGUGCUAAUACCGGAUAAGCCCUUACGGGGAAAGAUUUAUCGCCGAAAGAUCGGCCCGCGUCUGAUUAGCUAGUUGGUGAGGUAACGGCUCACCAAGGCGACGAUCAGUAGCUGGUCUGAGAGGAUGAUCAGCCACAUUGGGACUGAGACACGGCCCAAACUCCUACGGGAGGCAGCAGUGGGGAAUAUUGGACAAUGGGGGCAACCCUGAUCCAGCAAUGCCGCGUGUGUGAAGAAGGCCUUAGGGUUGUAAAGCACUUUAGGCUGGGAAGAAGGUGAGUGGUUUAAGAGAUGACUCAUUUGACGGUACCGGCAGAAUAAGCACCGGCUAACUCUGUG